GCCCACCCGGCUCCCGGCUCCCGGCUCCCGGCUCCCGGCUCUUCUACCCGGAAACUGUCCUGGCAGUCUACACUCCUGUCCUCUCCGCUUGGGAGAUUGGCAACAAUUGUGGCUAGCGGGUUGUUUAGUUGUUCUGUGAGCCACAGUUUCGGGUCAUGGAGGGGGACAGCCGCGCCGCCACGGCCUCGCAGUACCAGCCGGCCUGCCCUACGCGGGACGCAUGUGUCUACAGCAGCUGCUAUUGGUGAGGGAGCGCGGGCGCGGUCCCCGGGAAUCUGCGCGUCUUCGCGCGCCGCCACCAAUGCGUUCCUCUCCCGNNAAACUCACGGAUGUCCUAUAUUUUGUAGGUACCUAUUUGGAAACAGCAGGCAAGACCUGAGAAUGGACCUGUGAUCUGGGAUUAUCAUGUCGUUCUGCUUCAUGUGUCAAGGGAAGGACAGAGCUUCAUUUAUGACCUUGAUACUAUUUUGCCAUUUCCCUGCCCUUUCGACAUUUACAUAGAAGAUGCCCUUAAGUCUGAUGAUGACAUUCAUCCACAGUUUAGGAGGAAAUUCAGAGUGGUUCGUGCUGACUCCUACUUGAAGAACUUUGCUUCUGACCGGUCUCACAUGAAGGACUCGAGUGGGAACUGGAGAGAGCCCCCUCCAGAGUACCCCUGCAUUGAAACUGGAGACUCCAAAAUGAACCUGAACGACUUCAUCAGCAUGGACCCUGCAGUAGGAUGGGGAGCUGUCUACACGCUGUCUGAGUUUGUACAUCGGUUCAGCAGCAAAAACUACUGAGCCUAAUGCUAGCUUGUGCAACUAGAGGAACUCUAGGGUAGGAAUAAGCCAACCUCCAUUCCAGAGAGCAGUGAGGUACAGGUGGCCUAGAGGUAUAUAUAUUUCUCAUUAAAUUUGAUUGGAAAAUUAGUGAACACAAAUAAAAGUGAAUGAAUAAGCCCCCCCCUUUUUUUUUCAGCCUGGGGAUCUAUCCCAGAGUUCUGUCUCCAACCCUAAUCAGUCAGUCCCCAGCCUCAGACAUUAAUGAUGUGUCACAUUGGGUAUAUGGUUACUAAAAUGUUUCCCUGGCUUUCUUAUUUCAAUGUGUGAGAUGUAGACCAGCAACUGCUUUUGUAAAACUAGAAGUGUGGACUUGGAGUCAGCUCCUUUGGUCUGCUGUGUCUGCUUCCUGUCUGGCUAGACUCUAAACUCCUUGAGCACAGGGUUGUGGCCUGUGGCUCUAAGACUCUGUUGCCCAUUAGAGGGACCGGUAAAACGUUUCUAGAGACAGCUCUGCUGCUUGGAAAGGGACACUAUUGUGAGCUGAAUCAGCUGUAAGUAUUAGUCUUUUUGGACUACAAUGUUUAAAAAAGUUGCCAAUACCUUGUCUGAGUGUUAUUUGGCCCAUUUACAAAUGUAGCUUUAAAUAAAAAUGACUUAAUUUUG
rnacentral:lncRNA from 1 species